UACCGAAUGACCGUGGGUUGAUGCGAA
rnacentral:sRNA from 1 species